AUUGAACGCUGGCGGCAGGCCUAACACAUGCAAGUCGAGCGAGCGGCGGACGGGUGAGUAAUGUCUGGGAAACUGCCUGAUGGAGGGGGAUAACUACUGGAAACGGUAGCUAAUACCGCAUACCAUCAGAUGUGCCCAGAUGGGAUUAGCUAGUAGGUGGGGUAAUGGCUCACCUAGGCGACGAUCCCUAGCUGGUCUGAGAGGAUGACCAGCCAACCGGGAACUGGGACACGGUCCAGACUCCGACGGGGGGAAGCAGGGGGGAAUAUUGCACAAUGGGCGAAAGCCUGAUGCGGCCAUCCCGCGUGUGUGAGGAAGGCCUUCGGGUUGUAAAGCACUUUCAGCGGGGAGGCGUUACCCGAAGAAGAAGCACCGGCUAACUCCGUGCCAGCAGCCGCGGUAAUAC
rnacentral:rRNA from 1 species